GUAGGUGGCAAGCGUUGUCCGGAAUUAUUGGGCGUAAAGCGCGCGCAGGUGGUUCUUUAAGUCUGAUGUGAAAGCCCCCGGCUCAACCGGGGAGGGUCAUUGGAAACUGGGGAACUUGAGUGCAGGAGAGGAAAGUGGAAUUCCACGUGUAGCGGUGAAAUGCGUAGAUAUGUGGAGGAACACCAGUGGCGAAGGCGACUUUCUGGCCUGUAACUGACACUGAGGCGCGAAAGCGUGGGAGCAAACAGGGAUUAGAUACCCUGGUAGUCCACGCCGUAAACGAUGAGUGCUAAGUGUUGGGGGGGUUUCCCGCCCCUCAGUGCUGCAGCUAACGCAUUAAGCACUCCGCCUGGGGAUACGGUCGCAAGACUG
rnacentral:rRNA from 1 species